CUGGGUGUGGCGCAGUGGGAGCGCGUCAGUAUGCCUCCGGCACGCUGCGCGAACGGGGAACUGAAGGUCGUAGGUACCCUGCGGGAAGGCAUAGCCUACAAUCCCUACCACUCAGACCA
rnacentral:tRNA from 1 species